UACGUAGGGUGCAGGCGUUAAUCGGAAUUACUGGGCGUAAAGCGUGCGCAGGCGGUUAUGCAAGACAGAGGUGAAAUCCCCGGGCUCAACCUGGGAACUGCCUUUGUGACUGCAUAGCUAGAGUACGGUAGAGGGGGAUGGAAUUCCGCGUGUAGCAGUGAAAUGCGUAGAUAUGCGGAGGAACACCGAUGGCGAAGGCAAUCCCCUGGACCUGUACUGACGCUCAUGCACGAAAGCGUGGGGAGCAAACAGG
rnacentral:rRNA from 1 species